CAGUCGCCGCGGUAAUACGUAGGGUGCAAGCGUUAAUCGGAAUUACUGGGCGUAAAGGGCUCGCAGGCGGUUUCUUAAGUCUGAUGUGAAAGCCCCCGGCUCAACCGGGGAGGGUCAUUGGAAACUGGGAAACUUGAGUGCAGAAGAGGAGAGUGGAAUUCCACGUGUAGCGGUGAAAUGCGUAGAGAUGUGGAGGAACACCAGUGGCGAAGGCGACUCUCUGGUCUGUAACUGACGCUGAGGAGCGAAAGCGUGGGGAGCGAACAGGAUUAGAUACCCCUGUAGUCCCUGUCUCUUAUAA
rnacentral:rRNA from 1 species